rnacentral:rRNA from 1 species
GCCGCGGUAAUACAGAGGGUGCGAGCGUUAAUCGGAAUUACUGGGCGUAAAGCGCGCGUAGGCGGCCUUGCAAGUCGAGUGUGAAAUCCCCGGGCUUAACCUGGGAAUGGCAUUUGGGACUGCAAGGCUUGAGUGCGGCAGAGGAGACUGGAAUUCCUGGUGUAGCAGUGAAAUGCGUAGAUAUCAGGAGGAAUACCGAUGGCGAAGGCAGGUCUCUGGGCUGACACUGACGCUCAUGCACGAAAGCGUGGGGAGCAAACAG